UGGGGAAUUUUGGACAAUGGGCGAAAGCCUGAUCCAGCAAUGCCGCGUGUGUGAAGAAGGCCUUCGGGUUGUAAAGCACUUUUGUCCGGAAAGAAAUGGCUCUGGUUAAUACCUGGGGUCGAUGACGGUACCGGAAGAAUAAGGACCGGCUAACUACGUGUCAGCAGCCGCGGUAAUACGUAGGGUCCAAGCGUUAAUCGGAAUUACUGGGCGUAAAGCGUGCGCAGGCGGUUGUGCAAGACCGAUGUGAAAUCCCCGAGCUUAACUUGGGAAUUGCAUUGGUGACUGCACGGCUAGAGUGUGUCAGAGGGGGGUAGAAUUCCACGUGUAGCAGUGAAACGCGUAGAGAUGUGGAGGAAUACCGAUGGCGAAGGCAGCCCCCUGGGAUAACACUGACGCUCAUGCACGAAAGCGUGGGGAGCAAACAGGAUUAGAUACCCUGGUAGUCCACGCCCUAAACGAUGUCAACUAGUUGUUGGGGAUUCAUUUCCUUAGUAACGUAGCUAACGCGUGAAGUUGACCGCCUGGGGGAGUACGGUCGCAAGAUUAAAACUCAAAUGAAUUGACGGGGUCAUAGCUGUUUCCU
rnacentral:rRNA from 1 species